rnacentral:tRNA from 1 species
GGUAUAGGUGGCUGAAUAUAGGCGAUAAACUGUAAAUUUAUUUUAUGAGAAUUUUUCUCCCUUACCA